rnacentral:misc_RNA from 1 species
CUUUGGCAAAAAUAAUUAACAUAAACAUAGUACAUAAUCAGUACAACAGAGAAUCAAUAUUUCAAUUAAGCUUAUUAUAAUCUUUCAACAAUCUGACAAACAAAAAUAACAAUCUCAUAUCUUGUAAACAUUCAAUAAUCACCUGAACUAUUGCUUGCCAUAAUUCUCCAAGUACCAUUUGUAGGUAUCAACAAGACCAUCCCGAAGCGAAAUCUUUGGUGUCCAACCUAAUCCAACAAGCUUUGAAGCAUCCAUAAGCUUCCUUGGUGUCCCAUCCGGCUUAGUCGAAUCCCAAACCAACUCCCCUUUAAACCCCACAACUUCCUUCACCAAUUCAGCUAACUCCUUAAUACUCACUUCCUUCCCACUCCCUACAUUAACAUGUUCUAAAUCACUAUAAUUCUCCAACAAAAACACAACUGCAUCAGCUAAAUCAUCGACAUGUAAAAAUUCCCUUAAAGGAGAACCAGUACCCCACACAACAACUUUAUCAAGAUUGUUAACUUUUGCUUCAUGAAAUCUACGUAACAAAGCAGGCAAAACAUGAGAAUUCUCAGGAUGGAAAUUGUCAUUCGUACCAUAUAAAUUCGUAGGCAUUGCUGAAAUUGCAUCAAAGUUAUGCUGCAAUCUAUAAGCUUGACACAUUUUAAUACCAGCAAUUUUCGCAAUUGCAUACCAUUCAUUUGUAGGUUCCAAAGGAGCAGUUAAAAGUGCAUUUUCAGGAAUUGGUUGAGGAGCAAAUUUAGGGUAAAUACAUGAAGAACCAAGGAACAGAAGCUUCUGAACUUUGUGAUUGAAGGAUGAAACGAUAACGUUCGUUUGGAUUUGCAGAUUUAUAGUGAUGAAAUCAGCUGGGUAAGUAUUGUUUGCGUGUAUGCCGCCGACUUUCGCGGCUGCGAGGAUGACGUAUUGAGGUUUCUCGUCGGCGAAGAAGGAUUCGACCGCGGAUUGAUUAGUGAGAUCGAGAUCGGAAUGUGUACGGAGGAUGAGAUUUGUGCAGCCUAAUUGGUAAAGUUUCCGAACCACGGCGGAUCCGACGAGUCCACGGUGGCCGGCGACGAAGAUCUUAGCGGAAGUAUCUAUCGG